rnacentral:lncRNA from 1 species
UUGCUUUCGUUGUUAUGCUAUCCCAAUUGGUAGAGAUGAUUCGGGCAAUAGUAAAAGAUAUUUGUUCCUUAAAGUUUACUUCAGUAAACUGUUUUUGCCUCGGUCCAAUCCUAGUGUUAAAGUUUCUUUUCUUUCAUCUACCUGCAAUUCAAGCACUGUACCAUUUCGACCCUAAAAAUAUAGUCCAUGAGCAUUUGGACUAUCAGUCUCUAAAAGUUGUUGCUAUCAAUAGCACUGAAGUGUAGGCACUGUUGUUCUAUAGUUUCAAACAUAGUGAUUGUCAUGUUUUCUUCAUCUACCUGCUAUUCAAGCACUAUAUCAUUUCAACCCUGUAAAUAUGGUCCAUGUGCAUUUGGACUAUUAGUCUCUAAAAGUUGUUGCUAUCAAUAGCACUGAAGUGUAGGCACUGUUGUUUUAUAUUUUCAAACAUAGUCAUUGUCAUGUUUUCU